GAUGAACGCUAGCGGCAGGCUUAACACAUGCAAGUCGGGCGGCAGCGGGGUGGGAGCUUGCUCCCACUGCCGGCGAGCGGCGCACGGGUGAGUAACACGUAUGCAACCUGCCCCUGUCAGGGGGACAACCCGCCGAAAGGCGGGCUAAGCCCGCGUAUAUCUCCCCGGGGCAUCCCGGGGGGAGGAAAGGAGCGAUCCGGACAGGGAUGGGCAUGCGGCGCAGUAGCUGGUCGGCGGGGUAACGGCCCACCGAGGCGACGAUGCGUAGGGGUUCUGAGAGGAAGGCACCCCACACUGGUACUGAGACACGGACCAG
rnacentral:rRNA from 1 species